CGCUGCUCAAGAAAAGACAAUAUCCUUUAAUAGUUUUAAAUUCUAUUUUAAAUUAACAAAAUAAAUGACAUUGCGAAUGGAUUGAAUUUGAUCAAGAUAAAACACUAUUCUAUGUCAUUGUAUAUACAUAAAAAGCAUACAAUGAGUAUCACAAAGGAAACAAAGUUAGUUGAUAUCGAGAUGGGAAUCCACCAAGUUAGAGGAUUACUUGAAGACAUAUUGAGAAAACAAGACGAAAAUAUCUUAAGUUUGACUGAACAGACAGUUUUAAUACAAGAAACGAUUAAAAACCUCCUUGUUGCAACUUCAGCAAACAUGUCUUCGACAUCACCAACACCUGAUGGCAAAAAAUGUGGUGCACCACUUUAUAUUCAACGGCUGAGACUUUCUUAGACUACAUGAAUUGCAUUUUAUUUUAUGUAGAAGGUUUGCAUAUGUAUUUGUCGUUUAUUGUUAUUUUUAUAACUUUUAUUAUCAUUUAUAUUACUUUUAUUUUUAUUACUAUUAUAAUGUUUCGUCUCGUUGGCAAUUUGUUUUUGUGUUAAUAAAUAUUUAUACAUUUUA